UCAUCUAUUUGAUCAUUCCACCCCUAACUCUCCAUGUCUCAUAUUGUCUGCAUCACAUAAUCUUAACUGUCACCUGACGGAGACGCUUCCAUGUUAAACGAUAACACACCAGAGACUACAGGCAAUUAGAAAGAGAGGAACACCACUCGACGCACUCGAC